GGAAGUGCAUGGAAGGCCAGGCCCUGAAUCCAAGCUCUGAUGUUUUAUCUCUCAUCUUAAAACUAUUCCUUAGAAUUACAGGAACUAAAGCUACAUUGUAUGUGUUCAUUAAACAGAUCUAAUAUACAGGAAGAUAAUCACAGUUAUAUUAAUCAGACAGAGGGACUUAAGGCAUCAUAAACAAUUUCAAUUGGCAAAAACAAGCUUAAAAAGUGGAUCUGGAGCAGACAUCCUGAUUCUCUUGGUGUCCUGCCCAGAGCCCAAGACACAAGACGGAG